rnacentral:lncRNA from 1 species
AGGCCACCACGACCACUGUGACCCCUCUGACCGCUGUGGCCACCCUGGGCACUGGGACCACUGGGGUCACCAUCACUGUCCCCAUGGUCACCAUGGCCAUUGUGGCCACCGUGACCCGUUAGGCCACCGUGGUCACUGAACCUGCUGAGGCCACUAUGGUCACUGUGGUCAUUGAGGUCACCAUGGCCACCGUGGUCACCAAAGUCACCAAGGUCACCAUGGCCAUGUGGUCAUUGAGGCCACCAUGGCCACCAUGGCCACCGUGGUCACUUUGGCCACUGAGGCCCCCGAGAUAAGACCUGGAAUUGUUCCUCUCCUCCAGCGGGGUCAGGAAUUGUUAAUUAUUAAAUCAGAUUUAACCAAAUCCAGGAGUUUUCUUCUCGUUUUCCCCACCCGGCCCCGCCCUGGUGACUCUGAACAAGGGCCUGGAGCACGAGGGGAUGGGAAAUCGGGAAAAAAACGGGAAUUCCUGGAUGGAGAAAAAAAAAUGGGAAUUCCUGGGUCGGGAAAAAAAAUGGGAAUUCCUGGAUGGGGAAAAAAAUGGGAAUUCCUGAAUCGGGAAGGAAUUCCUGCCGGCAGGGGGGACAGGCUGGAAUUCCCAGAGAUUUCCCAGGGAUUUCCCAGAGAUUUCCCAGGGAUUUCCCAGGGAAUCCGUGGCUGCCCCAUCCCGGAGCUCCCUGGCACGGUGAUCAAUGUGAUCCUAAAAAUCCCCAAACCAGCCCAGAAUUCCAUGGGAACAGGAAAUGGAGCAGGAAGAGGAGAAAAAUUAUGUUAAA